UUGGCCAAAAGUCUGUAUUUUUCAUACCGACUUAUGGUAUGAAAAACUCAAACUCUUUGGCCAACC
ensembl:miRNA